UCCGUGAUGACCAAAACUGAGAUGUCGAGAGUCAUGAUUUUGCCAGGUUGUUUUCUACAGCAUAUGAUUGCAAUAUGAUAAUAAGCCUCCUCCUAGUACACCUUAAACCCUGCUCAUUCUCUUUCAGCAAAAACCGGUAAACGUCAUGCUUGCUGUAAUUGCAUUAGCACAUCAAUGUACUAAUCUGGUUAUCGUCAUUGCAGGUAGGACCUUGAUCAUCAUCACAUCCCAUUGCAUAUACUUGCAAUCAGACUUACAACUUCUAUGCCCCAAAGAUAGACUCCCUGCUGUGAUGUGUGCAUUCUGCUGUCUGCCGAAAUCAAUUAAUGUUCAAAUUUAUUAAUUUUUUCAGCAAUCCAUUGGCCCAGUCUUGGAGACUCAUUUGUCUGACAAGCAUCAAGGGCUCGU
rnacentral:lncRNA from 1 species